AUACGGAGGGGGCUAGCGUUGUUCGGAAUCACUGGGCGUAAAGCGCUCGUAGGCGGAUUGGUCAGUCAGAGGUGAAAUCCCAAGGCUCAACCUUGGAACUGCCUUUGAUACUGCCAGUCUUGAGGUCGAGAGAGGUAAGUGGAAUUCCUAGUGUAGAGGUGAAAUUCGUAGAUAUUAGGAAGAACACCAGUGGCGAAGGCGACUUACUGGCUCGAUUCUGACGCUGAGGAGCGAAAGCGUGGGGAGCAAACAGGAUUAGAAACCCUUGUAGUCC
rnacentral:rRNA from 1 species